UCCAUACUAAUGUUUGGGAGU
rnacentral:snRNA from 1 species